AAAAGGUCACAUGAAAGGCCGAUACAUUGCCUGGCCCUCAUAGGUGCUAGGGUAGUUCAAAGAAUGCUUUUUGGGAACUUACUGACUAGUUGGAGUGAAACUUGCAAAGUAUCGUGGGGAACAUAGCAUCUCGGGAGGAUUUACAGGAAAGACUUUGCUUUUGGUGGAGGAGAUUCCAAGUAUUGGGAAGCACAUGUACAAUAAUGAUACAGAAAUAAGAUUAAGGGGAUAAGGCAGAUUUUAGGAAUGCUGAUUUUGAGGUUAGAUGUGUUAGGGCCAAAUCGUGAGAACACCUGAUUGGAGUUCUUCCUGCCAGGUAGAGGGGGU
rnacentral:lncRNA from 1 species